rnacentral:rRNA from 1 species
UGGGGAAUAUUGGACAAUGGGCGCAAGCCUGAUCCAGCAAUGCCGCGUGUGUGAAGAAGGCCUUCGGGUUGUAAAGCACUUUUAUCAGGAGCGAAACGCUGUCGGCUAAUACCCGGCGGAACUGACGGUACCUGAGGAAUAAGCACCGGCUAACUUCGUGCCAGCAGCCGCGGUAAUACGAAGGGUGCAAGCGUUAAUCGGAAUUACUGGGCGUAAAGCGUGCGUAGGCGGUUUCUUAAGUCUGCUGUGAAAUCCCCGGGCUCAACCUGGGAAUGGCAGUGGAUACUGGGAGGCUAGAGUGUGUCAGAGGGUGGUGGAAUUCCCGGUGUAGCGGUGAAAUGCGUAGAGAUCGGGAGGAACAUCAGUGGCGAAGGCGGCCACCUGGGACAACACUGACGCUGAGGCACGAAAGCGUGGGGAGCAAACAGGAUUAGAUACCCUGGUAGUCCACGCCCUAAACGAUGCGAACUGGAUGUUGGUCUCAACUCGGAGAUCAGUGUC